CCUACGGGAGGCUGCAGUGGGGAAUAUUGGGCAAUGGGCGCAAGGCUGACCCAGCCACGCCGCGUGAGGGAAGACGGCUUUCGGGUUUGAAACUUCUUUUCUCCGGGCCGAAGAAAGUGACGGUACCUGAGGAAUAAGCCACCGCAAACUACGUGCCAGCAGCCACUGGAAGCCGUAGGUAGCAAUCAGUAUCAGGAUGUACUGGGUGUAAAGGGCGUGUAGCCGGGAAAGCAAGGCAGACGUGAAAACCAUGGGCUCAACCACGGAACUGCAUUUGAAACUGUUUUUCUUGAGUAUGCGAGAGGUAAUCGGAAUUCCUAGUGUAGCGGUGAAAUGCGUAGAUAUUAGGAAGAACACCAGUGGCGAAGGCGGAUUACUGGACGACAACUGACGGUGAGGCGCGAAAGCGUGGGGAGCAAACAGGAUUAGAUACCCUUGUAGUC
rnacentral:rRNA from 1 species